rnacentral:rRNA from 1 species
AAGGGCACCACAAGAACGCGUGGAGCAUGUGGCUUAAUUUGACUCAACGCGGGAAAUCUUACCGGGUCCGGACACACUGAGGAUUGACAGGCAAUCGACCAAUUUGGUUAUUCUUAAUGUAUGGUGCUUGCAUUAUGCAUUGUGAAUAGCUAAUUUGCUGCAAACAUGAAGGUCCUUUCAUGAUUGUGUGAUAGGUGGUGCAUGGCCGUUCUUAGUUCGUGGAGUGAUUUGUCUGCUUAAUUGCGUUUUUUCACUCAGAGAUUACUUUAAUUAGGUACUUGUUAAUUCGUUUCGCUCUUUCUUAAUGGCUGAGACAAUUAACAUUUACUUAAUUGUGUCUCUGCUUGCAACGAACGUGACCGCAACCCCUUGUUGCCUCUCUUACUUCAACCUUGUAUGCUUUACUGAUUUUGCAUUUAUGUGAUUGAUGUAUUGCAUAUUUAUGGUUAGUAGAGGGAAACUAGGGGGACUGCUGACAAAUCUCAAAACAGAGGAAGGUUGCGGCAAUAACAGGUCUGUGAUGCCCUCAGAUGUUCCGGGCUGCACACGUGCUACAAUGAUUAUUUCACUGAGCAUCUUUGAAUUAAGUUCACGGUUAAGGAUUUUCCUUUUAAAUUAGUUUCUGCUAAUUUUCUUGGAUGCCUUUCUCGUGACGAGCCUGCUUCGAAAGUUGCAGGUAAUCAAUUCGAAGUAAUGAUUUCCUGUGCACAUCUCCAUAUGUCCCUUAAUUUUUAAAAUUUUAUUGUGCUUUCGAGUGCAAUUGAUUUUAAGAACUUAAGUGGGCAUGUGCGUCAUUAAUUCGUGGUGGGGACAGACCAUUGUUAAUUCUUGGUCUCGUCUUAACUAGGAAUGCCUCGUACGGGUUUUUGGUUCAACAGACCACCCGGAAUAUGUCCCUGCCCUUUGUACACACCGCCCGUCA